GAAGCGACCUCGCGAGAGCAAGCGGACCUCAUAAAGUAUGUCGUAGUCCGGAUUGGAGUCUGCAACUCGACUCCAUGAAGUCGGAAUCGCUAGUAAUCGUAGAUCAGAAUGCUACGGUGAAUACGUUCCCGGGCCUUGUACACACCGCCCGUCACACCAUGGGAGUGGGUUGCAAAAGAAGUAGGUAGCUUAACCUUCGGGAGGGCGCUUACCACUUUGUGAUUCAUGACUGGGGUGAAGUCGUAACAAGGUAACCGUAGGGGAACCUGCGGUUGGAUCACCUCCUU
rnacentral:rRNA from 1 species